GCCGCGGUGGCGGGGAUGGUCGUGCCGCUCGGCCUGUUCGGCGGGCUCGCCGUGCUGCUGCUGAUGGCGGCGGUGACGAUCGCCAUCGCCAUCGCGCCU
rnacentral:tRNA from 1 species